GAACGCACCUUGCGCUCCUUGGUAUUCCGAGGAGCAUGCCUGUUUGAGUGUCAUUAAAUUCUCAACCUUUAUCAACUUUUGUUGAUAAUUGGCUUGGAUAUGGGGGUCUAUUUUGCUGGCUUCUUCACAGAUGGUCAACUCCCCUUAAAUGCAUUAGCCGGUGCCCCGCGUGGACUGUCUAUUGGUGUGAUAAUUAUCUACGCCGUGGACAUCUGCAAUUAUAUGGGUUUGCACUGCUUCCAACUGUCUGUUUAUUCGGACAAUACAUGACAAUUUGACCUCAAAUCAGGUAGGACUACCCGCUGAACUUAAG
rnacentral:misc_RNA from 1 species